CCCCUCAUUUCCCGAUUUUGAGUAACUUUUUAGACAGCCUGUAUAACAGUUUAAGAGCCAACAAAAUAAUUGUUAUGGAUUGCAUCUAAGAAUUGAAAUAGAGACCAUAACUGAAUAACCGAUACUGAUUGGAAAUUUUGGUUCUUCAUAACAUAUUUGAGAUGAAGAUUCAUCAUAAUUGUUGUAAGAACCGAGAUUAAUAUUGAGACAGUUUUCGAGCCGUAUACGUACCAUGUAAUUGUAGCAUUCUCCAUUAAUAGAAAAACAACUACGAGUUUGGCUCGGUAGUGGACUACAAAGACUAUUUUCGACAUUGAGAUUGGUGUUGCUCGUAAUUAGUAAUAGUAUAGUUUUUCGUAUGCUGACUAAUUACUUAUUGAAUUUCUAUUUUUGUUAUAGUCACAUCUACAAACCCGUUCAUCGGAGCAAAUGCUGGUUCAUCCGGCACAGGUCCUACAAAGUGGUAGUCACGGAAAAUUAUGAAUCUAGAUCAUAUUACAUAUGAAGACCCAUCCGUUGGAAUUAAACAAUCGAGAACACUGUCUCAAGUAAAAAAGGAGAGGAACGCUAAUCGACUUGUUAGUGUAGCCUGAUAUGGUGCUAUCGGUAUCCACAGAGAAUUUAGCAACUAUGAAGAGGGAAAGGAAGGGGAAAUUUAUAUGUACGCAUGAAUCCACCAUGUUUACCGCGAAUCAGAAUUUAAACAAAGUGCGACACGAAGAAGCUGCAACGUAUAAGUUUCUCCGUCAUGAGUUCUUAAAUAUUCUCGACGAUAUAAAAAUAAAUAUUAUUAUAUUGGAUGCUAAUAUUUACUCAUAAUCGUUUCGUUACGUUCGUGCAUGAAAUACAUUAAAAUUUGGUCGUGUAUAUUUAUAUAUAAUACAUAUAUGUGUACAGGGUGGAGCACAUACGGUGUGCUAGAAGAAUGUCUUCUAAUAGAAACGAAGUUGCUAUUAAAAAAUAUUAUUCGAUGAAGUUGAAGUACCUUACAGAUUCCUCACAUUUAUUAUUCAUAAAUUCUUCUGAUAAGCUUUUGUUUUCAUCUUCGUUUGGAAAUUUUCCUAUUCUAACAUAACAUACAGAAUGCCCUGAAUACGAGUACAUAAAGUAUUUCGUUUAUUAUUAAUAAUAAAUAAAAAGUUUUCACAUGUAUCCAUUUCCAUUUACUUUUGCUGCUCAAGGUAUCAUUUGAAAAAUCAUCAAAUAAGCUUGAAAUCUUAAAAAGUGUAAUCUCAAAUAAAAUUAAACUUAAUCAUGUUUCACCUUAACAUUUCUCCUUCUUUAUUGAUAGUAAGUAAGAUGUUUAAGGUACUCGAGUUCAAUGGGACACCCUGUAUAAUAACAAUGUAUGUAAAUAAUAUUAUAAUAUCCAAAAUUUAUUCAAUUAGCAAGUUAAAGGACACAAAUGAUUAUUAGUUUGUAAAAAAUCUUUAUUUUCUUAAUUAUUUUGAGAAAAUCACUUUUAUGUAUACUUGAUUUCUUAAAUUUCAUAUUUGAACAACUGGUGGAUAAUUGGCAAUACGUUCACGUAAACUCGACUAUAUGCCAAUAAAGAUUUGAAUCUUUAUACUUUUUAUUGUACAUUAUCCGUUCGAGAAUUGUCCAUCGUGCUUAUGUCGAAACACCGGAAUUUAAUUUAUGAACAAGUAGAUUGUACACGGUAUUUAAUGUAUGUCGCAUAACGUUGAUCUAUCGAUUAAGGUUUAAUUACUAAACCUAAACUAUUUUGAUUUCCAUGAAAGUACACCUUAAUACUUUAUUACAUGGAACGUUUCGAAAAAUGUAUCAAUGCAGAAAGGAUGUGCAAGUAUGUUUCUAUUUCUGAACACAUUCUAAUUAUAACAGAAUUAUUAUUAUGUUAUUAUCGUUACAAUACAUCGUUUGUUAAUAAAUUUUCUUUAGUCAUCUCGAAAAAAAACAUGGAGACGAUUCAGUCAUUUUACAAUUGAAUGUAUCUAUAAAGAUCUGGUAAUCAUUGUUUGAUAUAAAAAUAAAAGAAUGCAUAUUUAGCAAUAGCUUGAAUAUGUGAAAAGUAACAUUCAGUAUUUACAUUAAGAGCGGUUCAGACGAAUAUGGAUUUUAUACAAAAUUACUUUAAUUUCAUUUUUUAUUACUUAAGUACAUUGUUUAACGAUUUUAAAUAUAAUAUACAAGCCAUUAUAAUUUUGUACCACCCAUAACGGGUGGUCUUCAACAAUGUAUUCGUUUAACUAUACUUAACUAUUUAACUAUAUUCCUGUAAUCAUUUAAUUAUAUCUGCAAUGAAAACAGA